GGGCUCGUAGCUCAAUUGGCUAGAGGGUUGGCCGUACUAAUGCCUUCCCCUUGCUGGCGUGGGUUCAAAUCCUACCGAGGCUG
rnacentral:tRNA from 1 species